UGCUGUAUGGGUGAGAGUGUGUUUGUGGAAAAGGAAGACAUCAGCUGGCGACUGGCUGAAGAAUGCAGACAGAUAAAUCAGGAUUAGGUUCACUGUCCAGGUUGAAGAGGAGUGAGUAACUGCAGCCUAUUCUCCGAGUCCGGUGGUGUCAAACAUCUGGUUGAAUAAAGCCCUGCCCCAUCCCACAAGCGGGUGAAGUCCCAGACGCAAAUCCUUAUGGAAUCCCCAAGACUGGAGCUUUAGAAAAAGAUCUCCCAAGGCAUUACAUUGAGUGGCUAAAAGAGAGGGUUUCAAGCAAGAGACACACAAGGAACUUGAGGAGUCUAUUGAAGCUUGAUGACUAGCAGAAAAUACUUGUUCCUAAUGGCAAAAUACUGUUCGUCUCCUAUUGUGAUCACCACAAUGGUUUCUAGAAAUGGGUUUCCUCUUGUUCACCCCACAUAAAGGAAUCCCCUU